ACUCCUGCGGGAGGCAGCAGUGGGGAAUAUUGCACAAUGGGCGCAAGCCUGAUGCAGCCAUGCCGCGUGUAUGAAGAAGGCCUUCGGGUUGUAAAGUACUUUCAGCGGGGAGGAAGGCGAUAAGGUUAAUAACCUUGUCGAUUGACGUUACCCGCAGAAGAAGCACCGGCUAACUCCGUGCCAGCAGCCGCGGUAAUACGGAGGGUGCAAGCGUUAAUCGGAAUUACUGGGCGUAAAGCGCACGCAGGCGGUCUGUCAAGUCGGAUGUGAAAUCCCCGGGCUCAACCUGGGAACUGCAUUCGAAACUGGCAGGCUAGAGUCUUGUAGAGGGGGGUAGAAUUCCAGGUGUAGCGGUGAAAUGCGUAGAGAUCUGGAGGAAUACCGGUGGCGAAGGCGGCCCCCUGGACAAAGACUGACGCUCAGGUGCGAAAGCGUGGGGAGCAAACAGGAUUAGAUACCCCAGUAGUCC
rnacentral:rRNA from 1 species